UCAGACCGGAGUAAUCCAGGUCAGUUUCUAUCUAUACAUGAGUUUCUUCUAGUACGAAAGGACCGGAGAAACGCGGCCCAUAUUUUUUACAAGCCGCAGCUACUAAAUUAUGAUUUAAACUCAAUAAUAUCGUAGCCCAUAAUUUUACUCAAGACAAGAGUAG
rnacentral:rRNA from 1 species